rnacentral:rRNA from 1 species
UACAGAGGUCCCAAGCGUUACUGAGAAUCACUGGGUUUAAAGGGUGCGUAGGUGGUCCGUUAAGUCAGUUGUGAAAUCCCCGGGCUCAACCCGGGAACUGCUUCUGAUACUGGCGGACUUGAGGCCAGUAGGGGUCACUAGAACUGACGGUGGAGCGGUGAAAUGCGUAGAUAUCGUCAGGAAUGCCGGUGGUGAAGACGGGUGACUGGGCUGGUUCUGACACUGAGGCACGAAAGCGUGGGGGAGCGAACGAGG